UACGUAGGUGGCAAGCGUUAUCCGGAAUUAUUGGGCGUAAAGAGGGAGCAGGCGGCAGCAAAGGUCUGUGGUGAAAGACUGAAGCUUAACUUCAGUAAGCCAUAGAAACCGGGCAGCUAGAGUGCAGGAGAGGAUCGUGGAAUUCCAUGUGUAGCGGUGAAAUGCGUAGAUAUAUGGAGGAACACCAGUGGCGAAGGCAGCGUACCGGCGCCCAACUGACGCUGAAGCACGAAGGCGUGGGUAUCGAACAGG
rnacentral:rRNA from 1 species